GGUCCAGACGAUGAUGUGCAGCUACCCAAGUCUUCAAGUUACAAGGACGUAUUGCCUCCGACCGCAUCAAUUCUUCUUCUUCUUCGUCUUCGUUUUGGGUGAGAGAAACACCGUCGGAGAGUGCUAUAAAAGUACGGUUCGGUGUAUACAAUCAUCAGGAAAGGAAUAUAAUUGUAGAACCAAUAAUCUUAGGUUCUUACAAACCUCUCCAUAACAAAACAAUGGCUAGCAACAGCAAGGCUCUGAUGACAAUACUUUUCUUUCUCUUCUUGCUUUCAACUCAAUCCAUCCUACCUUCAACAGCGAGAAGGAUUCUGGGGACAAAUCAAAAUGGGAGUGGUGACACAACAUCUGCGGCAGAAAAAGUGCAAUCUGCCGAUUAUGAGCCCAGCUAUGCGGGCGAGCCCGGUCAUGGACCUCAAGGUUGAUUUGACCAUUCAUACUUGCGUCUUCUAAAGCAAGUUGAUUUUAAUGUAUGAAUAAAUUAAAAUCGCUUGUGCUACAACUGUAAUAUAAGGUUACUUUUAAUGUGCUAAAGAUCUCUAAUUCCAUAUAUGUUCUUCGUCUUUUGAUCUUGA